ACACAUGCAAGUCGAGCGGAGACAGUGAGUAGCUUGCUAUGAGCUGUUUUAGCGGCGGACGGGUGAGUAACGCGUGAGCAACCUUUCCCAGACAGGGGAAUAACACACCGAAAGGUGUACUAAUACCGCAUAAGACCACGGAAUCACAUGGUUCUGAGGUAAAAGAUUUAUCGGUUUGGGGUGGGCUCGCGUCCGAUUAGGUAGUUGGUGAGGUAACGGCCCACCAAGCCGACGAUCGGUAGCCGACCUGAGAGGGUGAUCGGCCACAUUGGGACUGAGACACGGCCCAAACUCCUACGGGAGGCAGCAGUGGGGAAUAUUGGGCAAUGGAGGAAACUCUGACCCAGCAACGCCGCGUGGAGGAAGAAGGUUUUCGGAUCGUAAACUCCUGUCCUUGGAGACGAGUAGAAGACGGUAUCCAAGGAGGAAGCCCCGGCUAACUACGUGCCAGCAGCCGCGGUAAUACGUAGGGGGCAAGCGUUGUCCGGAAUAAUUGGGCGUAAAGGGCGCGUAGGCGGCUCGGUAAGUCUGGAGUGAAAGUCCUGCUUUUAAGGUGGGAAUUGCUUUGGAUACUGUCGGGCUUGAGUGCAGGAGAGGUUAGUGGAAUUCCCAGUGUAGCGGUGAAAUGCGUAGAGAUUGGGAGGAACACCAGUGGCGAAGGCGACUAACUGGACCGUAACUGACGCUGAGGCGCGAAAGUGUGGGGAGCAAACAGGAUUAGAUACCCUGGUAGUCCACACUGUAAACGAUGAAUGCUAGGUGUAGGGGGUAUCGACCCCUUCUGUGCCGCA
rnacentral:rRNA from 1 species